rnacentral:rRNA from 1 species
UACGUAGGGCGCAAGCGUUAUCCGGAAUUAUUGGGCGUAAAGAGCUCGUAGGCGGUUUGUCGCGUCUGCUGUGAAAGACCGGGGCUCAACUCCGGUUCUGCAGUGGGUACGGGCAGACUAGAGUGCAGUAGGGGAGACUGGAAUUCCUGGUGUAGCGGUGAAAUGCGCAGAUAUCAGGAGGAACACCGAUGGCGAAGGCAGGUCUCUGGGCUGUAACUGACGCUGAGGAGCGAGAGCAUGGGGAGCGAACAGG